AACGAACGCUGGCGGCAUGCCUAACACAUGCAAGUCGAACGAGACCUUCGGGUCUAGUGGCGCACGGGUGCGUAACGCGUGGGAACCUGCCCUUAGGUUCGGAAUAACUCCCCGAAAGGGGUGCUAAUACCGGAUAAUGUCUUCGGACCAAAGAUUUAUCGCCUUUGGAUGGGCCCGCGUUGGAUUAGCUAGUUGGUAGGGUAAAAGCCUGCCAAGGCGACGAUCCAUAGCUGGUCUGAGAGGAUGAUCAGCCACACUGGGACUGAGACACGGCCCAGACUCCUACGGGAGGGAGGAGUGGGGAAUAUUGGAACAUGGGCGAAAGCCUGAUCCAGCAAUGACGGGUGAGUGAUGAAGGCCUUAGGGUUGUAAAGCUUUUUUAACCGGGAUGAUAAUGACAGUACCGGGAGAAUAAGCCCCGGCUAACUCCGUG
rnacentral:rRNA from 1 species